rnacentral:rRNA from 1 species
CCUACGGGAGGCUGCAGUGGGGGAUAUUGCACAAUGGGGGAAACCCUGAUGCAGCGACGCCGCGUGGGUGAAGAAGCGCCUCGGCGCGUAAAGCCCUGUCAGCAGGGAAGAAAAUGACGGUACCUGAAGAAGAAGCCCCGGCUAACUACGUCCCAGCAGCCGCGGGAAUACGUAGGGGGCAAGCGUUAACCGGAUUUACUGGGUGUAAAGGGGGCGCAGACGGCGAUGCAAGCCAGGAGUGAAAGCCCGGGGCCCAACCCCGGGACUGCUCUUGGAACUGCGUGGCUGGAGUGCAGGAGGGGAAGGCGGAAUUCCUGGUGUAGCGGUGAAAUGCGUAGAUAUCAGGAGGAACACCGGUGGCGAAGGCGGCCUGCUGGACUGCAACUGACGUUGAGGCCCGAAAGCGUGGGGAGCAAACAGGAUUAGAUACCCUGGUAGUC